UACGUAGGGUGCGAGCGUUAAUCGGAAUUACUGGGCGUAAAGCGUGCGCAGGCGGUUUUGUAAGCCAGAUGUGAAAUCCCCGGGCUUAACCUGGGAAUGGCAUUUGGGACUGCAAGGCUUGAGUGCGGCAGAGGAGACUAGAAUUCCUGGUGUAGCAGUGAAAUGCGUAGAUAUCAGGAGGAACACCAAUGGCGAAGGCAGCUCGCUGGGACGUGACUGACGCUGAGACGCGAAAGCGUGGGGAGCAAACAGG
rnacentral:rRNA from 1 species